UACGGAGGGUGCAAGCGUUGUUCGGAAUUAUUGGGCGUAAAGCGCGUGUAGGCGGCGUGACAAGUCGGGUGUGAAAGCCCUCAGCUCAACUGAGGAAGUGCGCCCGAAACUGUCGUGCUUGAGUGCCGGAGAGGGUGGCGGAAUUCCCCAAGUAGAGGUGAAAUUCGUAGAUAUGGGGAGGAACACCGGUGGCGAAGGCGGCCACCUGGACGGUAACUGACGCUGAGACGCGAAAGCGUGGGGAGCAAACAGG
rnacentral:rRNA from 1 species